AUUAAUUUUUGCAGGGCACAGCAUCAGUGGUCCUUGCAGGUUUGUUAGCAGCACUCAAGGUGGUUGGUAGGACCUUGGCAGAGCACACUUAUUUAUUCCUUGGUGCUGGGGAGGCUGGAACUGGUAUUGCAGAACUCAUUGCUCUUGAGAUUU